rnacentral:rRNA from 1 species
UGCAGUCGAACGAGACCUUCGGGUCUAGUGGCGCACGGGUGCGUAACGCGUGGGAACCUGCCUUUAGGUUCGGAAUAACUCAGAGAAAUUUGAGCUAAUACCGGAUAAUGUCUUCGGACCAAAGAUUUAUCGCCUUUAGAUGGGCCCGCGUAAGAUUAGCUAGUUGGUGGGGUAAUGGCCUACCAAGGCGACGAUCUUUAGCUGGUCUGAGAGGAUGAUCAGCCACACUGGGACUGAGACACGGCCCAGACUCCUACGGGAGGCAGCAGUGGGGAAUAUUGGACAAUGGGCGAAAGCCUGAUCCAGCAAUGCCGCGUGAGUGAUGAAGGCCUUAGGGUUGUAAAGCUCUUUUACCAGGGAUGAUAAUGACAGUACCUGGAGAAUAAGCUCCGGCUAACUCCGUGCCAGCAGCCGCGGUAAUACGGAGGGAGCUAGCGUUGUUCGGAAUUACUGGGCGUAAAGCGCACGUAGGCGGCUUUUUAAGUCAGGGGUGAAAUCCCGGGGCUCAACCCCGGAACUGCCCUUGAAACUGGGAAGCUAGAAUCUUGGAGAGGCGAGUGGAAUUCCGAGUGUAGAGGUGAAAUUCGUAGAUAUUCGGAAGAACACCAGUGGGCGAAGGCGACUCGCUGGACAAGUAUUGACGCUGAGGUGCGAAAGCGUGGGGAGCA